rnacentral:rRNA from 1 species
GACGAACGCUGGCGGCGUGCUUUACACAUGCAAGUCGAACGGUGAAGGUGGAGCUUGCUCCGCCGGAUCAGUGGCGAACGGGUGAGUAACACGUGGGCAACCUGCCACUAACUUUGGGAUAACUACUCGAAAGAGUAGCUAAUACCGGAUACGAAGUCUGUAGGCAUCUACGGAUUUGGAAAGUUUUUCGGUUAGGGAUGGGCCCGCGGCCUAUCAGCUUGUUGGUGAGGUAGUGGCUCACCAAGGCGACGACGGGUAGCCGGCCUGAGAGGGCGACCGGCCACACUGGGACUGAGACACGGCCUAGACUCCUACGGGAGGCAGCAGUGGGGAAUAUUGCGCAAUGGGCGAAAGCCUGACGCAGCAACGCCGCGUGCGGGAUGAAGGCCUUCGGGUUGUAAACCGCUUUCAGCAGGGAAGAAGCGAAAGUGACGGUACCUGCAGAAGAAGCACCGGCUAACUACGUGCCAGCCGCCGCAGUAA